rnacentral:rRNA from 1 species
GAUGAACGCUGGCGGCGUGCCUAAUACAUGCAAGUCGAGCGAACGGACGAGAAGCUUGCUUCUCUGAUGUUAGCGGCGGACGGGUGAGUAACACGUGGAUAACCUACCUAUAAGACUGGGAUAACUUCGGGAAACCGGAGCUAAUACCGGAUAAUAUUUUGAACCGCAUGGUUCAAAAGUAAAAGACGGUCUUGCUGUCACUUAUAGAUGGAUCCGCGCUGCAUUAGCUAGUUGGUAAGGUAACGGCUUACCAAGGCAACGAUGCAUAGCCGACCUGAGAGGGUGAUCGGCCACACUGGAACUGAGACACGGUCCAGACUCCUACGGGAGGCAGCAGUAGGGAAUCUUCCGCAAUGGGCGAAAGCCUGACGGAGCAACGCCGCGUGAGUGAUGAAGGUCUUCGGAUCGUAAAACUCUGUUAUUAGGGAAGAAUAUAUGUGUAAGUAACUGUGCACAUCUUGACGGUACCUAAUCAGAAAGCCACGGCUAACUACGUGCCAGCAGCCGCGGUAAUACGUAGGUGGCAAGCGUUAUCCGGAAUUAUUGGGCGUAAAGCGCGCGUAGGCGGUUUUUUAAGUCUGAUGUGAAAGCCCACGGCUCAACCGUGGAGGGUCAUUGGGAACUGGAAAACUUGAGUGCAGAAGAGGAAAGUGGAAUUCCAUGUGUAGCGGUGAAAUGCGCAGAGAUAUGGAGGAACACCAGUGGCGAAGGCGACUUUCUGGUCUGUAACUGACGCUGAUGUGCGAAAGCGUGGGGAUCAAACAGGAUUAGAUACCCUGGUAGUCCACGCCGUAAACGAUGAGUGCUAAGUGUUAGGGGGUUUCCGCCCCUUAGUGCUGCAGCUAACGCAUUAAGCACUCCGCCUGGGGAGUACGACCGCAAGGUUGAAACUCAAAGGAAUUGACGGGGACCCGCACAAGCGGUGGAGCAUGUGGUUUAAUUCGAAGCAACGCGAAGAACCUUACCAAAUCUUGACAUCCUUUGACAACUCUAGAGAUAGAGCCUUCCCCUUCGGGGGACAAAGUGACAGGUGGUGCAUGGUUGUCGUCAGCUCGUGUCGUGAGGUGUUGGGUUAAGUCCCGCAACGAGCGCAACCCUUAAGCUUAGUUGCCAUCAUUAAGUUGGGCACUCUAAGUUGACUGCCGGUGACAAACCGGAGGAAGGUGGGGAUGACGUCAAAUCAUCAUGCCCCUUAUGAUUUGGGCUACACACGUGCUACAAUGGACAAUACAAAGGGCAGCGAAACCGCGAGGUCAAGCAAAUCCCAUAAAGUUGUUCUCAGUUCGGAUUGUAGUCUGCAACUCGACUACAUGAAGCUGGAAUCGCUAGUAAUCGUAGAUCAGCAUGCUACGGUGAAUACGUUCCCGGGUCU